rnacentral:rRNA from 1 species
UACAGAGGUCUCAAGCGUUGUUCGGAUUCAUUGGGCGUAAAGGGUGCGUAGGCGGCGCGGUAAGUCGGGUGUGAAAUCUCGGAGCUUAACUCCGAAACUGCAUUCGAUACUGCCGUGCUUGAGUACUGGAGAGGAGACUGGAAUUUACGGUGUAGCGGUGAAAUGCGUAGAUAUCGUAAGGAAGACCAGUGGCGAAGGCGGGUCUCUGGACAGUUCCUGACGCUGAGGCACGAAGGUCAGGGGAGCAAACGGG